UAGGGAAUCUUCCACAAUGGACGAAAGUCUGAUGGAGCAACGCCGCGUGAGUGAAGAAGGGUUUCGGCUCGUAAAACUCUGUUGUUAAAGAAGAACAUAUCUGAGAGUAACUGUUCAGGUAUUGACGGUAUUUAACCAGAAGGCCACGGCUAACUACGUGCCUG
rnacentral:rRNA from 1 species